CCCUUAGACGUUCUGGGCCGCACGCGCGCCACACUGACCAGUGCAACAAGCAUCCGUCCUUGGCCGACAGGCUCGGGCAAUCUUUGAACGCUGGUCGUGAUGGGGAUAGACUUUUGCAAUUUUUGGUCUUCAACGAGGAAUUCCUAGUAAACGCAAGUCAUCAACUUGCAUUGAUUACGUCCCUGCCCUUUGUACACACCGCCCGUCGCACCUACCGAUUGAAUGGUCCGGUGAAGCCUCCGGAUUGGCGCGCACCUCGGUGCCGCCGAGAAGUUGGCUAAACCUUACCAUUUAGAGGAAGGUGAANUCGUANCA
rnacentral:rRNA from 1 species